UCAGCCUCAUUCCUUGGUUCAAAGAUAAAGCCAUUUUCUCAAAGUCACGGUGAAGAUCUAAUAGCAGAAGCACUCAGGGCUUCUGACAGCCUGCCAGUCACCAGGAUGGGCGUGGCUCCUGGCAGCCUGCCAGUCACCAGGAUGGGCGUGGCUCCUGGCAGCCUGUCAGUCACCAGGAUUGGCGUGGCUCCUGGCAGCUUGCAGUCACCAGGAUGGGCGUGGCUUCGGGCAAAACUGUUCUGCUCCCCUGAUACCAGGAGGCUCUAGAAGAAGACAUGUGCUGCUCCUUGGAGGUUGGAACUGCCCCCCGCAGUGGCAUCUGUGAAAUGGGUGCCAUCUCACAGCCUUCAGAGUCUGCAUGAUACAAUCAUGAAUUCAACAGUGUGGAUGUGCACACAUGUGCAACACCUGGAGCUUCAGGGACUUCCUGUCAGCAGAAGGUCCUCAAGUCACCACACAGCUAUUCAGUCACCUCCACGGGAACAAGAAGAACACAUUGUGGGGCCGGGCCGUGGGGUGGGAGACACAACAGCGCACUGCCUCUUCUGUUACCAGAAAUGCCUCUGAUCUAAGGAUGCACAGCAACACUGGGCCAGACUGUUGAGGCGUUGUGAAGAGUGAACCCUCCCUGCUCUGCAUCAAAAGGCCUCGGGUCACUGACAUUGGGUUAAAAGGUAACUGUCGAAUACCACUGCCAUCUGCGCUCUGUGUGUGUGUGUGCAUGUGUGUGCACACGUGCAUGUAUGCACGUGUGCGUGUGUGUGCGCUCGAGUGUGCGUGUGUGCACAUGUGUGCAUGUGCGUGUGUGUGCCUGGGCAUGCACUGUGUGUGUGUUCAAGUGUGCAUGUACUCUGUGUUGUAUGUGCACGUGUGUGUGCACGUGUGCAUGUGUGCACGUGUGUGUAUAUACCGUGUGGGGGGGGGUGCAUGCAGGAAAGGAUCCACAGUUAGAGGCUGGUCAGCCUCGGCUGUUUUCCUCAAGCCCAAUCUACCUUGUUUUGGGGGACAGGGUCUCCCUCUGGCCAAAUAGGCUGGGCUGGCUGGGUAGCCCACCCUAUAGGUCUGCUCGUUUCUGCCUCCCCAGUGCUGGGACUACAACUGGGCACUGCAUGCUGGGGGCUUGGGGAUUCAGAUCCUUGUCUUUGCAUGGUAAGCAUUUUUGGUGACUCAACCAAUCUCCCAGCUCAUCACCUGCUUUUGAAAUGCCCAUGCGCUUGGACAGGAGGGGGCCCCUCACCACCACCACCACCACCACCACUCCUGCCAAGAAAUACCCCAGAAAAGGGCUGCCAGGAGAAAUGUUUAGCCCAGAAAAUCAUCCAGCGCUCGGCACAACUGGGGAAGUCAGGAGGCUCACUGUAGGAACCCAUCAGGCUGCGAGAAGAAGUCACGCUGAAGCAGGAAGUGCGGGAUCCUGGAUGUGGAGCCCAGCCCAGCAUCAGAAGGAUGCUUUCUGGAGGGAUAGUAUGCUCCAGUUACAGAGGGACUCUGGCCCCACUACAGGCAGAAAGGCUAAGUUGGGCAGGGCUGUCUCUUUGAAGAGCUGGAUCUCGGGGAAAGGAGGUCACAGAGAUUUGAGUCAAGCUUAAAACCUUCCUGUCUGGAGCAUCUUCUCUGACCUGGCCUAUUUUUAGAAGUUUCUUUUAAGGUCAGCGUGGGAAGCCAUGGAUUCAGCCGCAUGCAUUCCCCUGGACACUCUCCACAGCCAGCACGUUUAAAAUGGAGCCACUGAGAAAAGGAGCUGGGGACACUCAGCAGGGUCAGCUGGCACCCUCCCAUGCUGUAUUGUCCCUGAGGAGUAGCCACCAUCACAAUGGCCUGGCACAGAGCUAACACCCAUCACAGAUGCAAGCUGCCAGUUCCUGGGCCACUGGGCCAGCACAUUAGCAUGGAUGGUUCAGAUGCGGAAACUGUAGCUAACUGAGAAACAACGGUCAUCAGAGGCCACAAAACAAGGGCUGCGGUGAAUCCAACAUGUCUCCCAUUGGCUCUUCAUUUUUGACAGGUUCUCAUGUAUCCUAAGCUGACCUCAAACUCAUUCUGUGACUAAGUAUGGCCUUGAACUCCUGAUUUUCCCACCCCAGCUCUCAAGUCCUGAGGUUGUAAACACAUACCCCGACUCUCAGGUGAUGUGAUGCUGGACCCCAGGGCUUUGUGUAUGCUAAGCAACAUUCUACCACAGCCCCAGCCAUGGGCUCAUACUUUGAAUGCUUUACCUACAGCUACGGAGAACUAUUUUGAAGGCUGAUCAAAAUAUGUCAUUAGGGGUGGGUCUUCAGCUGUGGUCUCUGCUUCCUGCCUGUUGCCAUGUGAACAAGCCAUCACUACCAGUUCCCACCGCCAUACACCAAGACCUCCAGUCUACCUUUUCUGCCGUGAUGAACAGGAACUCACAGAAACAGUGAAAAUAAAUCUUUCCUCUCUGGCGCUAUCUGCGGUGGGCUUGAGAGAUGCAGAGAGGAAAGACCACGCAGCAUUACUCCCCCUCCCCCUUUCCGGAAUCCACGGAGGAGUCAUCCUCUUAAUUCUGCACAAGAAUCUCAGGAGAGAAUCUGAUUGGCUGAACUCUUUUGUCCUUGUUUAAGGGAGGGGCAGUAUUUUGAUUGACAGGUCCUUCCUCCGUGUGUGUGUGUGUGUGUGUGUGUGUGUGUGUGUGUGUGUGUGUGCGCGCACACACACACACACACACACACACACACAUGAGUAGGCACCCACACUGAAGCCACUGCCCAUGAACAGGAGGAUGAACAGUCCCCGGAAGCAAAGGAAGAUUCUAGAAAGCACUCCAUUCCUUAAAGACUUCUGGGGAUUAGCAUGCUACCCGUUGACUUCCAUCCUCUGCCUUUACAUCCCUCAGGACAGUUGGCUUCUUGCAAAAGGAUCUCUGUUCUUCCGAAAGCCACAGAGCUUCUCAGGAUCUGUUUUCUGCGAAAUCAGGGGCGUGGCGCACACAAAUCAA
rnacentral:lncRNA from 1 species